rnacentral:lncRNA from 1 species
GGUUGUAGGGAGAGUGAGUGUUCACUGUUACGAUGAAUCAUUGUUCUAAAUUCAAAACUAAGAAAGUAAGAAUAACUACUUAGACCAUUGUGACAUGGUGGAUUUGUGGUUUCCGAGAAAGGAUAAUGCCACCUUAGUAGAUUAAGAACUGAGCCAUGUUGGAUUUGUGUGGUUUCCAUGAAAACGAACCUAGCAACGACUAUAUUUCUCGAAUGUGUAUAGAUCUAACAGUGUAAAUAGUUGAGCAAAGGUGGUUUCUAAGUUGUGCUGGUUUCACUUAGGUGUGUGGAUGGGCGGGAAGCUCGGUUGGCGGCACGCUAGAGGCAACGUGAUCCAAUUAACAUGGAAUUAAGCUUCUUAAUGAAACUUGAUGUGUAUUUCCCUCUCGAGAACACUAGAACUUCUCACACUGCUAGAAACAGUACGCCUAGUGUGCAUGAGGGCUAGAGUUCAUGGAGCAGGUACCACCGAUGUUGGGUUAUUGAAAUACUUUGUCGUGAAAACUCUCCUUUGUGGGGAGUAGGCUCAUUUGUUGGGCAAGUUACG